rnacentral:lncRNA from 1 species
CAAGGAGCCACCGACUUGCCACCAUAGAGGGCGGAGGAGGAGGAGACGGAACCUAGCCAGGUCACCGUUGAUCAGGUCCCCGUCGAUUUCCCAGAACCUUGUCAGGUCACCGUUGAUCAGGUCCCCAUUGACUUUCCAGAGUCAAGUCAGGUCACCGUUGAUCAGGUCCCCGUUGAUUUCCAAGAACCUAGCCAGGUCACCGUUGAUCAGGUCCCCGUUGAUUUCGCAGAACCUAGUCAGGUCACUGUUGAUCAGGUCCCCGUCGACUUUCCAGAGGCAAGUCAGGUCACCAUUGAUCAGGUCCCCGUCGAUUUCCCAGAACCUAGCCAGGUCACCGUUGAUCAGGUCCCCGUCGAUUUCCCAGAACCUUGUCAGGUCACCGUUGAUCAGGUCCCCAUUGACUUUCCAGAGUCAAGUCAGGUCCCCGUUGAUCAGGUCCCCGUUGAUUUCCUGGAGUCUAGUCAGGUCACCGUUGACCAUCCAGAGAUGGGUCAAGUCACCUCUAACACCCAAGAGUCAAGUAAAACAACAGUUAAACUUCAUGAGCCAAGGCAAGUCAAAGUUGAUCCUCAGGAACCAAGUCAAGUCACCAACGAUCUUCAUCAGCAAAGUCAAGUCACAGUUGAUCCUCAGGAGCCAAGUCAAGUCACCAAUGAUCUUCAUGAGCAAAGUCAGGUCACAAAUGAUCUUCAUGAGCAAAGUCAAGUCACCAUUAACCUCCGUGAACUAAGUCAAGUCACAGUUGAUCCUCAGGAACCAAGUCAAGUCACCAACGAUUUUCAUGAGCAAAGUCAAGUCAUCAACGAUCUUCAUGAGCAAAGGCAAGUCACCAUUAACCUCCGUGAACUAAGUCAAGUCACAGUUGAUCUUCAUGAGCACAGUCAAGUCACCAACGAUAUUCAUGAACUAAUUCAAGUCACAGUUGAUCUUCAUGAACCCAGUCAAAUCACCACAGAUCUACCAGAGCCUCGUCACAUCUCAGCUGAACUCCCAGAGCCUCGUCACAUCUCAGAGCUCUCGUCCUAUCCUGUCACGGCCAGGGAGGCCGUCAAUGAGCUGUCAUUCAUUCUGGUCAGCGCUACGGAGACCAUACACCAACUCUCUGUCUGUCCUGUCAUGGCCACGGAGGCCCGCUACCAUCUCAUCACGGCCACGGAGGCCACUAUUAACCUGUUUAUGUUCCCUGUUUCAGUCCCACCUGACCAGACUUGCUUUCCUGUGCCAUCAACUCCACUGUGGUGGUCCUCUGCUCCGCCCUGGUGGGCCUCUGUCAUGUAUGUUCAACUAUGGUGGUCGUCUGGUCCGCCCUGGUGGGCUUCUGUCCCAUCAUCUCGGCUGUGGUGUUCCUCUGCUCCGCCCUGGUGGGCUUCUGUCCCCUCUUCUCAGCUGUGGUGGUCAUCUGCUCCACCCUGGUGGGCUCCAGCUCCACCUACUCCGCUCUGGUGGGCUCCCACGCCACCUGCUCUGCCUUGGUGGACCCCUGUUCCCGAGUUAGGCCCACAGCGGGUUCCUGUUACCGAGUUAGGCCCAUGGCGGGUUCCUGUUUCCUCUGUCAGGCCAAGGAAAGCCCCUUGUUUCCCAUGUCAGGUCCAGGAGAGACUCCUGAUCUCCAUGUUAGGCCCAGUUCUGCCUGCUCUGCCCCGGUCCUCGACCACUCCACUUCCUCAUGGACCUGGCCCUCCGUCCCUCCCCCUGUUCCGCCUCCGCUCCACCGCCCUCCUAGAUUGUUUUGAGCGUCUGGAAGCCGCUCCUUUGGGGGGGGGGGGGCUAUGUCACAUGAUCAUUCAUGGAGUGCCCAUGAACUUUUGUAGAGGGCACUCCAAUCAGGACAAUUCCACACUCACCACUAGAUGUCACUCGGACUCUAGCACCUCUUAUCUGUUGCACCACACCCUAACUACAUUUCCCAUGAGUCUCUUUUAUAUAGACCCUGUUCCAUGUUUUGCACACCAAAUGUGUUUCCUUAUGCCCUUAUUUGGUCCUUCCUGUUACCAUUAUGUUCCUUGAUUAGUUCUACGUUUUAUAAUAAUGGAACAUACAGUAAGGGAGAUAUUGGCAAAAAUUUACCUGUAGUAAGUCAGUCUUGAAAAAACAAACUUACUACAACCUUUGGAACAUGAAAACCCUUUUGGUGAUUUAAAGUAAUUGUUUUUAAAGAAUUAUUAUAUACUGUACAUACAGUAAGGGAGAUAUUGGCAAAAAUUCACCUGUAGUAAGUGAGCCUUGAAAAAACAAACUUACUACAACCUUUG